rnacentral:rRNA from 1 species
GAUGAACGCUGGCGGCGUGCCUAACACAUGCAAGUCGAGCGAUUCUCUUCGGAGAAGAGCGGCGGACGGGUGAGUAACGCGUGGGUAACCUGCCCUGUACACACGGAUAACAUACCGAAAGGUAUGCUAAUACGAGAUAACAUAAGAAAUUCGCAUGUUUUUCUUAUCAAAGCUCCGGCGGUACAGGAUGGACCCGCGUCUGAUUAGCUAGUUGGUGAGGUAAUGGCUCACCAAGGCGACGAUCAGUAGCCGACCUGAGAGGGUGAUCGGCCACAUUGGAACUGAGACACGGUCCAAACUCCUACGGGAGGCAGCAGUGGGGAAUAUUGCACAAUGGGCGAAAGCCUGAUGCAGCAACGCCGCGUGAGCGAUGAAGGUCUCCGGGUCGUAAAGCUCUGUCCUCAAGGAAGAUAAUGACGGUACUUGAGGAGGAAGCCCCGGCUAACUACGUGCCAGCAGCCGCAGUAAAAC